rnacentral:lncRNA from 1 species
UUCAUCUGUGCCAUUUUUGCAGAAGUGUGCCAAAUGCUUUCUUGAUGUACCGGGGUCGACCCAAUCAUCCUUUGGGUCGACUCAAUCCACACUUUGCUGCAUCUCAAGGUCAGAUUUAUUCAUAUAAACAAUGAAAUGUAUCUAUAUCAAUUUAUACAAAUAUACUGAGAGUAAUAGACUUAUAAAUGAAAUAUCGAUUUAACUUAUAACAUACUCUAGAUAAUUGCUUGUUAAUCAUCAAAAUAACACUAUC